rnacentral:tRNA from 1 species
UCUCUGAAGGACUAGUGGUUUGGCCUCGGUGCUCUCAAAGCUGCGGCCCAGGAUCAAUUCCUGGUCAGGGAA